UACGUAGGGUGCAAGCGUUGUCCGGAAUUAUUGGGCGUAAAGAGCUCGUAGGCGGUCUGUCGCGUCUGCUGUGAAAAUCCAGGGCUCAACCCUGGACCUGCAGUGGGUACGGGCAGACUAGAGUGCGGUAGGGGAGAUCGGAAUUCCUGGUGUAGCGGUGAAAUGCGCAGAUAUCAGGAGGAACACCUACUGCGAAGGCAGCUCGCUGGGACGUAACUGACGCUGAGACGCGAAAGCGUGGGGAGCAAACAGG
rnacentral:rRNA from 1 species